UUUUCGUGAAUUUAUAGACUUUAGCCGACGAGAUAUUAAAAAAGUCGUCGGCUAAGGUCAAAAAUUUUGGGUGGUAAUUUUCAAAGGUCUUUAGCCGACGAAAAUAUAUGAAAAUUCGUCGGCUAAAGUCGAAAAUUUUCAAAAUUUUCAACCAAAAUUUUUUGGCGGUCAACCAAAAUUUUCAAAAGAGUUUAGCCGACGAAAAUAAAAAAUUUUGUCGGCUAAAGUUUUUUAUAUAGGAGUUUUACCGAAGGUGGAUGGUAAGAAGUCUAUUUCGCCUGCCAGAUUUUCUUCUCGGCCUAGCUCCGCCGUCAAGCCACCGGAGACCGCCACACUUGUCCCAAAAGCUUCGCCGUCGUCUCUACUUCAUUGCUGGAUAGGUGGUGCAUCGAGUGGCGCCGCCGUGAGAGAUAAAUCGAGCUCCAAAACUUCGCCGGUUCGGAUUCGGUGUCGAUCGAAUUUCUCCUUCCUCAGGUCACCAUUUAGUGAGUUCUAUAUAUGGAUAAGUUGAGUUUGAUUAGUACUACAUUCCCCUAGAAUUUGAUAGCUCGAUUCGGUGUGUGUGAGGAGAAUCGAAGAUUUGAAGUUUUUAGGGUUUAAAAUUGGGGAUUUUUAUAUUUUGAUUCAAUUGACCUAUUUAGGCUUAGAAUUGGGCUUCGACUUCUUCUAGAAAGUUGUUCGAAAUGUUGAGAAGAAGAUUCUGUCAAAUUUUGGUGGUGAUUGGAGGUGGCCGAAAGUUUCUGCAGUUUUUUUUUUCAAAAACCAGCAACUUUAGCCGACGAUAUUUGAAGGUUUAUUAAGGUUUAGCCGACGAAUUAUGGCAUAUUUCGUCGGCUAUAGUUAUUUUUUAAAUUUUUUAUAAGGUUUAGCCGACGAAACAGACUAUAUUUCGUCGGCUAUAGUUAUUUUUUUAAUUUUUUUAUAAGGUUUAGCCGACGAAACAUACUAUAUUUCGUCGGCUAUAGUCUGAGAAAAAAAUUUUUAUUACAGACUUUAGCCGACGAAUAUCUUAAUUGUUUCGUCGACUAAAGUCUGGGAAAAAAACCGACGACAUGUUUUUCAUCGGCUAAACUGCGGGACUAUAGCCGACGAAAUUUUUUUUUUCGUCGGCUAAAGUCAUCACAUACGACCUUUUCCCGACGAAAUCUUAACCGACGAUGGCUCGUCGGCUAAGAUCUUAGACGACGAAUUAAGCUAACAGGCCGACGAAAAUUUUUCGUCGGCUAAAGUGCUUGUCCUGGUAGUGUUACCAGACUACAGAAAAUUUUGAACUGCUGCAACAACCUCAGGUGGCUUGACUCCUAAUCUACUUAAACAACAAAUAUUUCCCAAAAUGGGAAGUCGAAAACUAUAAUCUCUUAUGAUUGUGAUUUGUCGAUACCUAAACUGACUUAACAUCUGAGAAGACCGACAACCCUGGUCUAUCCUCGAACGUAGUGUUUGUUUUGACAAUUAUAACGGUACAGGAAGAGCACAAAACUUGUGUUCCACUUAAUCGCGUUAUCAUGAGCACACCUAAAACAAUAUUCCAUUUAUUGAUGAUGGUUGAGGUAGAGAUCAUAAUCGAGCUGCACUUAUUUCGGUUAAAUUUUAGACACUAAACUGUCACUGUACGUACUACCACUUCUGUUUUUGACGUCACUUAUUUCAGUUAAGAUAACAACUUUAGACAUCACCAACUAUCAAAAUGUGAUUAGUGUUUCAAGAUGAAUUAUUGAGAAAAUGAUAGAUAGUAAAGAGAAUGGAUAACCAUCAUCUUAUUUAUUGAUAUGAACCAUUUCUAUAGAGAUUACAUAGCAUCAUAAGGUGUUGUAUAAAGAAAUAUAUCUUUGAUAUCAUAUCUCUAUAUAGAAUCGUGAUUCCUUGUUUGACUAGCAUUAGAUCAAAACACACACAUAUAGAAUAUUCGUGCAACAAUUAGCAAUAUGUAUCAUAUAGAAUGAAUAUAUUAGCAUACGGCGAUAAUUCCAACUUUAUGUCAUUAUCCUUUUUUGUUUUGAAAACUAUAUGCUCUUUAUCUUGUUGGAUAUAUGUCAUUGUAAAUGGAUAGAAAAUGUAUCUGGUAAGUAUGCAAAAGAGUAAAUGGUUAUUUCUGAAAGCCUUGCUUCCAAUAUUACUAUAAAAGACUAAUAUCAAACAAAUUGUUAAUUUGUUACCAUAAAAGACGAUUUCAGGAAAACAAGAUUAAUUUGUCACCGUAAAAGUUGAUUCCAAAAAAGGCAAAACUCAACAAAAUCCAACGAAUGUUCAACAAAAUAUAUUCAACAUUAACAAAGCACAGUAACCACCUAGCUACUAAACAUAAAACCUUAGCAAUUACCACUAAUACCAACUCAGCCAAAGUAACAAUAAACCAUAACUGUUAAUGGACUCGCUGAAGUCAUCCU
rnacentral:lncRNA from 1 species